rnacentral:lncRNA from 1 species
CUUGAACUUCAGGAUUGUGAUGCCACCUGCCUUGCCUUUGUUGCUCAUAGUUGCUUUUGCUAUUCUAGUUCUCUCCUGGGAAGGAAUAGUUGUUGCAGGGAGAUCUAUGAGGAGGCUCCUGGGAGGAAAAUUACAUGGCAACAGGAAUGGGAGAGACUUAGUUACUGAGCCAAGAAGCACAUCGGUGUUUUCCAUUUCAAGGGGAGCAUUGGGAAGGACCAAGACAUCCACACCCUUCAGAAAUCACUGCCAGACAGUCUGCAGAUGA